CUUGUAAGGUUUUUAAUGAGGGAGACUCUUCAGAGUUCCAAGCUUAACUUAGGAUCAACUAAAGUUAAGCUUGAGGGGGAGUGUUGAACUGAAGAGAAGAAUGGAGCUUGAGUCCAAUUAGGGCAAGCACUUGAAGAUCUUAAGAAGAGUUAUAUGAAGCUUCAGAAGAGAUGUGAAGCUAGUACAAAGAUAAGAUAGUGAUCUAGAAGAGUAGUAAUUAGAGUUGGGAGAUCUUUGGAGGAGUUUGGGAGCUUAAGGGCGAGGCCGGUACGGACGGCCGUACGGAUGGUACGGCCUGUACAGACAUGAUCGACUCAAGACUUAUGGACUCGACCAUUUGAAGCUAUUUGAGGGCUGUGCAAAUAUAGGGCAUUGGUGUAUGGUUAUGGCAAGUCCGUACAGCCAAGGAGAAGCUCUAAUAUGAAUGUGCAAAGUCCGGGAUGGUGAGAAGCAUCAAAUGGAAUCAAGAAGUUGCUUUGGUGGCAAGAAGAUUCAAACAAGAGUUGGCGCCAGUUUGUGGGAAGUAUGGGAUUGGUUGUAGUGGUCCACGACAGGCUGGCCACAGCUGGAAAGGAAGAGCAAGACAA
rnacentral:lncRNA from 1 species